rnacentral:rRNA from 1 species
UACGAAGGGGGCUAGCGUUGUUCGGAAUUACUGGGCGUAAAGCGUGUGUAGGUGGUUGUCCAAGUUGGAUGUGAAAGCCUUGAGCUCAACUCAAGAAAUGCAUUCAGGACUGGCCGGCUAGAGGACCGGAGAGGAUAGUGGAAUUCCCAGUGUAGUGGUGAAAUACGUAGAGAUUGGGAAGAACACCAGUGGCGAAGGCGGCUAUCUGGACGGUUUCUAACACUAAGACUCGAAAGCGUGGGGAGCAAACAGG